UGCCCUUCUGGUGCUUGCAGCUCUUCAAUUGUCUGUGCAGGAGAGUGCCAAUGAUCAGUCAAAUCAGACAGAUAUGAGUAAGCUGUUGGCAGAUCAAUCGUUUGUGUCAUCAAUCCUUGCCUCGCUUCCAGGUGUUGAUCCAAACGAUCCUUCCGUUAAAGAUUUGCUUGCUUCCAUGCAAGGCCAGUCGUCUGAGCAGAAGGACGAGGACAAUGAUAAGGAACAGAAAGAGGACAAGAAGUAAAGAUGAGCACAACUAUGUGCAGCUCAGGCAAAGAAAUUCAGAAGGUAAUCAAGUAUCGUGCUGCUGAAAUUGCUCAAUGGAAUGGGGCUUGUUAUGUCUGGGAAAGGACUGUAUCCUGUUACUCUUGAGGGAUUAAUUGAAUUGUUCUUUAAAAUAUAUUGUUAU